rnacentral:rRNA from 1 species
GAUGAACGCUGACAGAAUGCUUAACACAUGCAAGUCUACCAAGAAUCACUUCGGUGAGGAAUGGUGGCGGACGGGUGAGUAACGCGUAAAUAAUCUGCCCUAUGCAGGGGGAUAACAACGAGAAAUCGUUGCUAAUACCGCAUAACAAAGAAGAAUCGCAUGAUUAUUCUUUCAAAGAUUUAUCGGCAUAGGAUGGACCCGCGUUGGAUUAGCUAGUUGGUGAGAUAACAGCCCACCAAGGCGACGAUCCAUAGCCGGCCUGAGAGGGUGAACGGCCACACUGGGACUGAGACACGGCCCAGACUCCUACGGGAGGCAGCAGUGGGGAAUAUUGCACAAUGGGCGCAAGCCUGAUGCAGCGACGCCGCGUGAAGGAUGAAGGUCUUCGGAUUGUAAACUUCUAUCAGCAGGGAAGAAGGAGUGUUUUCGGACACUUUUGACGGUACCUGACUAAGAAGCACCGGCUAACUACGUGCCAGCAGCCGCAGUAA